rnacentral:tRNA from 1 species
GGACUGGUAGCUCAAUCGGUAGAGCUCACUCCCCGUUGCGCCGGGGAACCCGGCCAGGUGAUGUAGGUUCGAGUCCUACCCGGUCCACCA